rnacentral:rRNA from 1 species
GUGGGGAAUAUUGGACAAUGGGCGAAAGCCUGAUCCAGCCUUGCCGCGUGUGUGAAGAAGGUCUUCGGAUUGUAAAGCACUUUAAGUUGGGAGGAAGGGCAGUAAGUUAAUACCUUGCUGUUUUGACGUUACCGACAGAAUAAGCACCGGCUAACUUCGUGCCAGCAGCCGCGGUAAUACGAAGGGUGCAAGCGUUAAUCGGAAUUACUGGGCGUAAAGCGCGCGUAGGUGGUUUUGUAAGUUGGAGGUGAAAUCCCCGGGCUCAACCUGGGAACUGCCUCCAAAACUGCAUGACUAGAGUACGGUAGAGGGUAGUGGAAUUUCCUGUGUAGCGGUGAAAUGCGUAGAUAUAGGAAGGAACACCAGUGGCGAAGGCGACUACCUGGACUGAUACUGACACUGAGGUGCGAAAGCGUGGGGAGCAAACAGGAUUAGAAACCCUAGUAGUCC